GAUUAACGCUGGCGGCGUGCAUAACACAUGCAAGUCGAACGAUGAAACUUUAAUGAACCCUUCGGGGAGAAUUAAAGCGGAUUAGUGGCGAACGGGUGAGUAACGCGUGAGUACCCUGCCUUACACAAGGGGAUAGCCUUUGGAAACGAAGAAUAAUACCCUAUAAAACCAUACAAGCACGUGCAAUUAUGGUCAAAGUGAUAGCGGUGUAAGAUGGACUUGCGUCUGAUUAGCUAGUUGGUGAGAUAAAAGCCCACCAAGGCAACGAUCAGUAGCCGGCUUGAGAGAGUGUACGGCCACAUUGGGACUGAGACACGGCCCAGACUCCUACGGGAGGCAGCAGUGGGGAAUUUGGCACAAUGGGGGAAACCCUGAUGCAGCGACGCCGCGUGAUUUAGAAGGCCUUCGGGUUGUAAAAAUCUUUUGUAUAGGAAGAAAAUGACAGUACUAUACGAAUAAGGGCCGGCUAAUUACGUG
rnacentral:rRNA from 1 species